UGCAGUCGAACGGUGAUAGCAAUAUCAUAGUGGCGCACGGGUGCGUAACACGUAUGCAACCUACCUUAUACUGAGGGAUAGCCUUUCGAAAGGGAGAUUAAUACCUCAUAACACAUUGAACUGGCAUCAGUUUAUUGUUAAAGAUUUAUUGGAUAUAAGAUGGGCAUGCGUCCAAUUAGUUAGUUGGCGAGGUAACGGCUCACCAAGACGAUGAUUGGUAGGGGAACUGAGAGGAUAAUCCCCCACACUGGCACUGAGAUACGGGCCAGACUCCUACGGGAGGCAGCAGUAGGGAAUAUUGGGCAAUGGAGGCGACUCUGACCCAGCCAUGCCGCGUGCAGGAAGAAGGCGUUAUGCGUUGUAAACUGCUUUUAUAUAGGAAGGAAUAAACCUUGCGAGGUAAGUUGACGGUACUAUAUGAAUAAGCACCGGCUAACUCCGUGCCAGCAGCCGCGGUAAUACGGAGGGUGCAAGCGUUGUCCGGAUUUAUUGGGUUUAAAGGGUGCGUAGGCGGUUUAUUAAGUCAGUGGUGAAAGACGGUCGCUCAACGAUUGCAGUGCCAUUGAUACUGGUAGACUUGAGUGA
rnacentral:rRNA from 1 species